GACGAACGCUGGCGGCGUGCUUAACACAUGCAAGUCGAACGCUGACGCUUUGUGCUUGCCCUGUGAGGAUGAGUGGCGAACGGGUGAGUAAUACGUGCGUAACCUGCUCUUGACUCUGGGAUAAGCCUGGGAAACUGGUUCCAAUACUGGAUACGACAUGUCACCGCAUGGUGCUGUGUGGAAAGGGUUUUACUGGUUUUGGAUGGGCUGAGGGCCUAUUAGCUUGUUGGUGGGGUAAUGGCCCACCAAGGCGACGACGGGUAGCCGGCCUGAGAGGGUGACCGGGCACAAUAGGCCUGAGGGACGGACCAGACGGCUACGGUAGGCAACAGUGGGAAAUCUUGCACAAUGAGCGGAAGCGUGAUGCAACGGCGCCGCGUGAGUAAUGACGGCCUUCGGGUUGUGAACCGCUUUCGGCUCGGAAGAAGCGAAAGUGACGGUACGUGAAGAAGAAGCGCCGGCUAACUACGUG
rnacentral:rRNA from 1 species